UGGGGAGUACGGCCGCAAGGUUAAAACUCAAAUGAAUUGACGGGGGCCCGCACAAGCGGUGGAGCAUGUGGUUUAAUUCGAUGCAACGCGAAGAACCUUACCUGGUCUUGACAUCCACAGAAGAAUCCAGAGAUGGAUUUGUGCCUUCGGGAACUGUGAGACAGGUGCUGCAUGGCUGUCGUCAGCUCGUGUUGUGAAAUGUUGGGUUAAGUCCCGCAACGAGCGCAACCCUUAUCCUUUGUUGCCAGCGGUUAGGCCGGGAACUCAAAGGAGACUGCCAGUGAUAAACUGGAGGAAGGUGGGGAUGACGUCAAGUCAUCAUGGCCCUUACGACCAGGGCUACACACGUGCUACAAUGGCGCAUACAAAGAGAAGCGACCUCGCGAGAGCAAGCGGACCUCAUAAAGUGCGUCGUAGUCCGGAUUGGAGUCUGCAACUCGACUCCAUGAAGUCGGAAUCGCUAGUAAUCGUGGAUCAGAAUGCCACGGUGAAUACGUUCCCGGGCCUUGUACACACCGCCCGUCACACCAUGGGAGUGGGUUGCAAAAGAAGUAGGUAGCUUAACCUUCGGGAGGGCGCUUACCACUUUGUGAUUCAUGACUGGGGUGAAGUCGUAACAAGGUAACCGUAGGGGAACCUGCGGUUGGA
rnacentral:rRNA from 1 species